UUUUCAUUAGCUUAAUUAUAAAGCAUUAAAUUUUUAAUUUAAAAAUAAGUGUAACUUAUGAAGAA
rnacentral:tRNA from 1 species